rnacentral:rRNA from 1 species
CGCCUACGGGAGGCAGCAGUGGGGAAUAUUGCGCAAUGGGGGAAACCCUGACGCAGCAACGCCGCGUGCGGGAUGAAGGCUUUCGGGUUGUAAACCGCUUUCAGCAGGGAAGAUAAUGACGGUACCUGCAGAAGAAGCCCCGGCUAACUACGUGCCAGCAGCCGCGGUAAUACGUAGGGGGCAAGGGUUAUCCGGAUUUACUGGGUGUAAAGGGAGCGUAGACGGCGGAACAAGUCAGAAGUGAAAACCCGGGGCUCAACCCUGGGAGUGCUUUCGAAACUGUUUGGCUGGAGUGCAGGAGAGGG